rnacentral:rRNA from 1 species
CGGUUAGGUGAGGUAACGGCUCACCAAGGCGAUGAUGCGUAGCCGGACUGAGAGGUUGAACGGCCACAAUGGGACUGAGAGACGGCCCAUACUCCUACGGGAGGCAGCAGUAGGGAAUUUUCGGCAAUGGACGAAAGUCUGACCGAGCAAUGCCGCGUGAACGAGAAAUUAUUCGUAAUGUAAAGUUCUUUUAUUAGGGACGAAAAACAAAUUGACGGUACCUAAUGAAUAAGCCCCGGCUAACUACGUGCCAGCAGCCGCGGUAAUACGUAGGGGCGAGCGUUAUCCGGAAUUAUUGGGCGUAAAGGGUGCGUAGACGGCAUAAGAAGUCUUUUGUAAAAUAGUUGGGCUCAACCCAAUUAGGCAAAGGAAACUCUUAAGCUAGAGUACGGUAGAGGCAAGUGGAAUUCCAUGUGUAGCGGUAAAAUGCGUAAAUAUAUGGAGGAACACCGGUGGCGAAGGCGGCUUGCUGGGCCUGUACUGACGUUGAGGCACGAAAGCGUGGGGAGCGAACAGGAUUAGAUACCCUGGUAGUCCACGCCGUAAACGAUGAGUGCUAGGUGUUGGAUC